GCGCCCGUAGCUCAAUUGGAUAGAGCGCUUGACUACGGAUCAGGAGGUUAGGGGUUCGACUCCUCUCGGGCGCGCCA
rnacentral:tRNA from 2 species